AACGAACGCUGGCGGCAUGCCUAACACAUGCAAGUCGAACGAGACCUUCGGGUCUAGUGGCGCACGGGUGCGUAACGCGUGGGAACCUGCCCUUAGGUUCGGAAUAACUCCCCGAAAGGGGUGCUAAUACCGGAUAAUGUCUUCGGACCAAAGAUUUAUCGCCUUUGGAUGGGCCCGCGUUGGAUUAGCUAGUUGGUAGGGUAAAAGCCUACCAAGGCGACGAUCCAUAGCUGGUCUGAGAGGAUGAUCAGCCACACUGGGACUGAGACACGGCCCAGACUCCUACGGGAGGCAGCAGUGGGGAAUAUUGGACAAUGGGCGAAAGCCUGAUCCAGCAAUGCCGCGUGAGUGAUGAAGGCCUUAGGGUUGUAAAGCUCUUUUACCCGGGAUGAUAAUGACAGUGCCGGGAGAAUAAGCUCCGGCUAACUCCGUG
rnacentral:rRNA from 1 species